GCCUUCAGUGGACUUCAAGGAAGAGGCCGUUAUGACCCUGGGGAAUGCACUUCCCACAGAAACCACCACAGCGACCAUAGAUUCUUGUCCCAUCCUACGAGUGGAGAGAAGUGAGAGGACAGAGAGGCAGCAAGGCCUGAUACCUAUGGAGGAGAGGAAGAAAGGAAGGAGAGGAGAUGAGAGUAGAUGGAAAAGGGGACACAAAGGAGAGGAGGAUAGUAAAGCCUUUGAUUCAGGUCUCUCUGUUGGACGGCAAUGUUUGGACGGAUGACCUUUAGACGUCACACACUCAACAAUGCGCUCCAUCACUCCUGCCCCACAGUAGGUGGCAUGCAGGCAGUCUCUGAGCAGGCAUGGCUGGGUGCCAACAGGGUGAGGCUCACGGCAGUGGGUGAUGGAGGAGGACGACUGGGCAGGAGUGUACGGGUUUCCAGCUCUGGAGGAUGGAACCACG